UCCGUCAUUAUAGUUUGCAAUGUUUUACGAAUGACACUAUCAGUGUCAGCUAUACGACGUGUUACUGUGCGUCUUGAAAGUGAUAUUUUUUCAAAUUAAUGGAAAUUUUGUUUUCAUUUGUUGGUUUAGCUAUUUAUUUUUAACAAAUUCUCCAUCACUCAACGAUUUUUUAGAUUUUGCUAUUUCGUUAGAAAUAAUAUUAUAUGAAGUCAAUAAAUUUGAUUUUUGUGAAGUUGUUGCUUUUGGCAUCACAUUUUCUUGUUUUAUUUUAAGAUCAAUUACAACACUCUCUUGCAUCACCAAUGUAUUUUUCAUAUUUGGAAAAAUGAUUUGUUAUGCAAUGUUUUUUUUUUAAAUUAUAUUCUUUUAACACCGCAAUAACGAUUAAACAAACUAAACAUUAAGGUUUUUUUUGUUCGUUAAUAAUAAAUAAAUAGUAAUUCUCCCACGAGGUGUUAAAAGUUCUAUUUUUGUCACCAAAUUUUACGCUUUUUUGCAAACAUUAUCAAGCACUGCAAAACACG